rnacentral:rRNA from 1 species
GACGAACGCUGGCGGCGUGCUUAACACAUGCAAGUCGAGCGGUAAGGCCCUUUCGGGGGGUACACGAGCGGCGAACGGGUGAGUAACACGUGGGUGACCUGCCCUCAGCUCUGGGGAUAAGCCUGGGAAACUGGGUCUAAUACCGGAUAUGACUCCAUGACGCAUGUUGUGGGGUGGAAAGCCUUGUGCGGCUGAGGAUGGGCCCGCGGCCUAUCAGCUUGUUGGUGGGGUGAUGGCCUACCAAGG